GAGUAGCUCAGUCAGUAGAGCACGAGACUCUUAAUCUGGGGUCGUGGGUUUGAGCUCUGUGUUGGGCA